ACCAGGUCUUGACAUCCUCUGACAACUCUAGAGAUAGAGCGUUCCCCUUCGGGGGACAGAGUGACAGGUGGUGCAUGGUUGUCGUCAGCUCGUGUCGUGAGAUGUUGGGUUAAGUCCCGCAACGAGCGCAACCCUUGAUCUUAGUUGCCAGCAUUUAGUUGGGCACUCUAAGGUGACUGCCGGUGACAAACCGGAGGAAGGUGGGGAUGACGUCAAAUCAUCAUGCCCCUUAUGACCUGGGCUACACACGUGCUACAAUGGAUGGUACAAAGGGCUGCAAGACCGCGAGGUCAAGCCAAUCCCAUAAAACCAUUCUCAGUUCGGAUUGUAGGCUGCAACUCGCCUACAUGAAGCUGGAAUCGCUAGUAAUCGCGGAUCAGCAUGCCGCGGGAA
rnacentral:rRNA from 2 species